rnacentral:rRNA from 1 species
GAUGAACGCUGGCGGCGUGCCUAAUACAUGCAAGUCGAGCGAACAGAUGAGGAGCUUGCUCCUCUUACGUUAGCGGCGGACGGGUGAGUAACACGUGGAUAACCUACCUAUAAUACUGGGAUAACUUCGGGAAACCGGAUCUAAUACCGGAUAAUAUAUUGAACCGCAUGGUUCAAUAGUGAAAUACGGUUUUUCUGUCACUUAUAGAUGGAUCCGCGCCGGAUUAGCUAGUUGGUAAGGUAACGGCUUACCAAGGCAACGAUGCGUAGCCGACCUGAGAGGGUGAUCGGCCACACUGGAACUGAGACACGGUCCAGACUACUACGGGAGGCAGCAGUAGGGAAUCUUCCGCAAUGGGCGAAAGCCUGACGGAGCAACGCCGCGUGAGUGAUGAAGGUCUUCGGAUCGUAAAACUCUGUUAUUAGGGAAGAACAAAUGUGUAAGUAACUAUGCACGUCUUGACGGUAACUAAUCAGAAAGCCACGGCUAACUACGUG